ensembl:lncRNA
GAGAAUGCUUAAACAGAAGUUGUGGUGCUAAACACCCUCCCCUCCCCCAGUUUGCAAUAUCUGAAAAUGCUCAAGGAAGAUUAUCAUACAGAAAGUUCUGUUUUCUUUAUUCUUAAUACAUCUAAAUAGCCUGUCUCCUCUUUCUGUUCCAGGUAUGAGCACCAGUGACCCAAGCCCGUGUAACCAGUGCUGGCCCUUGGGCUGAAAGCCUUUAGGACAAAAAAGGAGACUGACAGAUCAGAGCUAUUUGAAGAGUCCCUGACCACGCCUCAGAAGUGGAAGAAGAAACUGGGAGUGGAGGCCCAGGAGGACCCAUAGUCACAAGAGCUGAGCUUGGGAAGUGACCCGCCCCCACAAUGAUGGGGGAUGUCUGAGGAGAGUUCCUUGUAGGCAGCUACCCAGAAAACCACAGCAACUUGCCUCACCUCAGAGCCCUGUCUCCUGUGAGAGACAGUCAGAAACUCCAACCAAAUAAGGCCCCAAGCUGGGAAUUCCAUGUCACCCACCAUUCAUAGACACAGGAAGAGUAGGCAACAUGCUCUCCCCACUGACCCCACCAUGAGAGAAUCUGGGGAAGGUCUAAAAUGAACAGAGUCAAGCUUCAGAAGGAAAUGGAUGGCUUUCUCAACGUCAAAGGGUUCACAUCACUUGAAUCAUGGAGAGCUGAGAAAGGACCUGGAUCAGAGACCACUUCACUUCAUUGAACUAAGUUUGUCCUAAAGGGAUCACCAUACACAUUUUACAUUUACUCUAAAGGGGUCUCUACACAGCAAACACUCACCUAGCUUGAUGACAGUUCUUACAGCCUAUUCUUACAAAGGCCCAAACAGGACAACCUUAGAGAAACUAUUCAAUCUCCUCGUGUCUUCCAGACUGAAGGAAAAUAAAAUGAAAACCUCUCCAAGGAUUGAUAUUAGGUGACAUGCCUUGAGACACUGAAGCACUAAAGCAGGGACACACAGUGAGCUAAACACAAGUCAGUGCUUGCAAUGUUAAUGGCAAGGACAGGGACAAUGAUGGCCCCAUCUUAUAGACUGGAGGGUUUCGGGAGGCCAUUCAUUCUCUUGGUGAAUGGCUGUGACAUUUGAUGACAGUGUAAAGAAGCUCACCCCACCUUUGUUCCGGGCCCUACCAAGUCUGCUAAAAGUACACACUGCAACCUUGAGAUGCUGAGACGUGUUUCCUAACCUUUACUUACAGGCAUCCCAAUGGUAGACAACUCGUGUUCCCCCUUCUGAUCAACCCUGAGAACAAUGCCAACCAUUUCCUGUAAUGAAAGCAACUAAAAAUAUUUUUUGAUGAUGGAGAUGGUGAAAGUUGAGCAACACAGAGCAGAAUACGGAAAUGAUACCAAGAGGCACCCAGCCAACGAAUUGAGCAUCCCACCUGGCUUUCAUCUCCCAGAACUGCCCAAAGACUCAAUAUCUUGUUUUUCCUAUUCCUGGAACCUGCACCACGUCUUUCUUUGUACACUCACUCCAUCUAGUAGAGAAAAAAAAUUUAGUCAGCCAUGACUAAUGGCAAAUGAUUGUAUCAAAUUGUUGCCAGCAAUUUAAGCAGCAAAAUAGCAUAACUUUCUCUUCUUCAUGAGCCUCGGAGGAGCUCCAAUGACUCAAGGAGUGCUUCACAUUUUGUACACUCAACAAUCUCUUUCAUAUUUAUGAUCAAAUUGAUACUAAUGUUAUGAUCAGAUAUAUUCCAUAACACUAUCAAUGAGAAUUGUGACUGUCCUAUUAAACCAAACUAUGCAUUAAUGUAUUUUAACUCCCAACUCCAUGAUGUAGGACACAGUCACUGUCCCCCAACCCCCUCUUACAUUGAAGAAACUGAGGCACAGAGAGAAGGAAUGAUCUGAGAUCAUGUCACCAACCAAUAAUGGUCUUUUAUCACCCAAGGCCCUGCUUGUCUGAUGCCGUGGUUUUCAACCCUCUCUCAUUUCAGGGUAUGGCCCAUCUUCAAAGGAGGCCUCAGCCCUGCUAUAAGGAACCCUCUUUUUUUCUUUGCAAAUAAAUUUUUCCUCUUUGCCUGCCUGGAAAAGGUGGCUCGGCAGCCAACUCAGUGAGCAGUUCUGUGACUUAGGAACAAAUAUGUAGCAGAGUUGAGUCUCUCCAGAUGUUGAGCUAAAUAAGGCACAAGAGGAUCGCCUAGAUCUAGAUGACUCUUAAAGCCAAACUGGGAGUGGAGGGAACACCAGAACACUCAAGAGGAUAAACGUUCUUAUUCAAGAGUCCCCACCAUGUGCCAGAAACCCCACAGAAGGCAGGUGUCAGGAUAAAGAGCCAGCCCACUAUGUGAUUAAACAUGACCAUUUUCUGCCUUUCUCUGCCCCACCCUGUAGGAAUACUAUCUACCCCUGAACUGUUGAACUCAAGGGUGACUAUUCAACCAUGCUGGCUGAUACAAUGUUGACAGAGUUGACACAUACCUUCCAGUUCGUGAUCUGCCACCCCAGAUUGGCAAUAUUUCUAAGACAGGCUGCCCAGGAUCCCAAAGAUCUAAAGAAGUCAAGCUGAGAAAGCGUGAUGUGUGAGCUGCUGUUUUCAGAUUGCUGUUAUAGCAACCUGACAAAGCCUUGUUUCACAGGGAAGCCUGAAGGACAUCCCAGAGCUGGUACUUGGUAGAGCCAGAAUGGUUCCCCACUAACAUUAAUGCAUGCUUCACAAGGUCACAGCUAGGCAAGUGCUAUGCAUGUAUCCUCUCCAUUGUCACAGAAAGUCUGUGUCAUUUAUAUAAAGUUCUUACUCAAAUUUUGAAUGAAAGUAUGGCACAACCUGUCUUCUGUUGCUUGAAAAAAAAAAUACCUGAAAUCAGUUCAUCUGAAAGAGCUUAUUUGGUUUAUGGCUCCAGAGACAGGAAAGCCUGUGAGCAUGGUGCUGCCAUGUGCCUGGUACCUGGUAAGGGCUUCUUACUGCAUCUUAACCUAGUACAGGGUGUCACACGGCCAAGCAGAGCAAGCAUUUCCUGCCCAUUUAUAUUCCUCUCUCUAUAAUCCACUAAUGCUAUAUUGGGCCCCACCUUCAUGUCCCCCCUUAAUCCUAAUUACCUCCUAAAUGCCUCACCUCCAGACUCCAUUAACACAUGAUUUUGGAGAUUAACUUUUGGAGGGUACAAUCAAACUGUAAGGACAUUUUAGCUCACACAGCUGAUAAGGAAGAUACAAGUGAAACUGACCAGAUGGCUUGCUAUCACUUGCUUAAGCUCUUGAUAACUAAGUUCAUGCUGUAUCCUUCUUCAAUUGAUGGAGUUGAGAAAGUGAAUGGAUGAAGUGAGUUUGCUAACCAGGAUGGGCCCAGGAGAUGGUACACUCAUGCUUUGAAAGUUACAAGAGGGGCUGGAGAGAUGGCUGAGAGGUUAAGAGCACUGACUGCUCUUCCAGAGGUCCUGAAUUCAAUUCCCAGCAACCACGUGGUGGAUCACAACCAUCUGUUAUGAUACCUGGUGCUCUCUUCUGGUGUGCAGACAUACAUGGAAGCAGAAUGUUGUAUACGUAAUAAAUAAAUAAAAUCUUUAAAAAAAGAAAAGAAAGUCACAAGAAAGAUGUCCUCUGUCCCAAGUGAUGACCAAUCAUAUGUCACUUUGUGUGUGAACCAAAGAGGUAGGAGGGACCAGAGCUCUCCCAUUGCUCUCUUAGCCCUGCUCACCUCCUUCCUCAGCACAGAGCUCCUGCAAAGCUGUUGACUCAUAGUCUCCACAGCCUCUCAUGUCAGUGCAUAACUGGAAAUACAAUGUGGGUAGUACCCACAGGAACUUGGAGGCAAGAGGGAAUAGAAUCUUUCAAAUGAAGACCUUUCAAGAUGGUGAACUCAGAUUACUAGAACCCAUGACAGGGAGGGAGGAACCUGACAAUGGCAGCAUGCACUUGUGAUUCCAGAGGUGGAGGAGGAGACAGCAGGCAGGAAGUAGAGACAAGCAGAUGAUCCGUGGGGCUUUCUAGCCAUUAGACUAGACUAAUCAGC